AAAGAUCAAGAUGGGUUGGUUACAAGACACAUUCCCAAAUCUGAAUGAAGAUUCAAUAGAAAUAGAAAGAAUUCGAUAUGCUCGGGCAUGCAUUUUUCAGUUAAUUGGAGGUUGUCUGAUGCCAGACUCGUCACGGAGCCGCGUACAUCUAAGAUGGCCUUGUUAAUUUCUUGAACUACCUUACUGCACCAUACAUGGCCUCCCU
rnacentral:lncRNA from 1 species